rnacentral:rRNA from 1 species
CCGGCCCUCCGCGAGCACCCGCGGGGGUUCGGGUUCCGGACCCGGUCCGAUCCCGUUCCCACCGAGGGGCUGUCCGCGAUCAUGGAGGUGUCCUCGGACGGCGUCGAAUCCUUCUCCGGUCCGCGACGCUACGGCUUGGAUGGUCCACCCGACCCGUCUUGAAACACGGACCAAGGAGUCUAACAUGCGCGCGAGUCGUUGGGUCGGACACGCUCCGCUAAACCCAUAGGCGCAAUGAAAGUGAAGGCCGCCGUCGGGCGGCCGAGGGAGGACGGGGCCGGCCGCGCGUUCCGGCGCGCGUCGGUCCCCGCACCCCCGGGGCGUCUGAUCCCUCAUCGCGAGGGGAGGCGCACCCAGAGCGCACACGUUGGGACCCGAAAGAUGGUGAACUAUGCCUGGCCAGGACGAAGUCAGGGGAAACCCUGAUGGAGGUCCGUAGCGAUUCUGACGUGCAAAUCGAUCGUCGGAGCUGGGUAUAGGGGCGAAAGACUAAUCGAACCAUCUAGUAGCUGGUUCCCUCCGAAGUUUCCCUCAGGAUAGCUUGCGCUCGGAGGAGAGUCUCAUCCGGUAAAGCGAAUGAUUAGAGGCCUUGGGGCCGAAACGGCUUCAACCUAUUCUCAAACUUUAAAUGGGUGAGAACUCCGGCUUGCUCGACUUGUCGAAGCCGGAGACGGGGCUCCGGCCCCCGGGAUCGGAGUGCAUAGUGGGCCACUUUUGGUAAGCAGAACUGGCGCUGUGGGAUGAACCAAACGACGGGUUAAGGCGCCCGAAUCGACGCUCAUGGGAAACCAUGAAAGGUGUUGGUUGCUUAAGACAGCAGGACGGUGGCCAUGGAAGUCGGAAUCCGCUAAGGAGUGUGUAAUAACUCACCUGCCGAAGCAACUAGCCCUGAAAAUGGAUGGCGCUGAAGCGUCGUGCCUAUACCCGGCCGUCGCGGCAGGGCGGACCCGCGAGGGUGCCGUUCGAUGCGGCGACGAGUAGGAGGGUCGCGGCGGCGCGCGCAGAAGGGUCUGGGCUCGAGCCUGCCUGGAGCCGCCGCCGGUGCAGAUCUUGGUGGUAGUAGCAAAUACUCCAGCGAGGCCCUGGAGGACUGAUGUGGAGAAGGGUUUCGUGUGAACAGCCGUUGCACACGAGUCAGUCGAUCCUAAGCCCUAGGAGAAAUCCGACGCCAACGGCGACGGGAAAAACGAAACAGAGAGAAAGAAACCCGUUGAUCGGGCGAAAGGGAAUCCGGUUCCUAUUCCGGAACCCGGCAGCGGAACCGCUGUUUGUCGGGCCCUCACAAGGGGUUCGUCAGGGUAACCUAAAAGGGCCCGGAGACGCCGUCGGGAGCCCCGGAAAGAGUUUUCUUUUCUGCAUGAGCGUUCGAGUUCCCUGGAAUCCU